UCUGAGUCAGAACACUCUUAAUAAUCCUGAAGGCUUAACUAUAAAAUUGUCAAGAGCCAAAAAAGGAUGUUCUUUUAAGGUCUCAGAGAUCUGGAGCAAUUAUUUUAUCGACAGGAAAAGUAUUUUUUUUAAGGGAGUAGGGAAGUUUGAGAAAAGGUCUCGCAUUACAGCACAGGCUGGCCUUGAACUUACAAAUCCAAGUGCUGGGAUUAUGGAUGUGACCUAUACCACUUAGGGCUAGAAAAGGCCAUCCUGAACAUGUCCAUUUGAUUUACAAAUAUCAAGUUAACAUUGUGUUUUUAUGAUUUCUCAGCAUAACCAAUAUCAUUAUGCUUCGGGGUAAAGGGCUACUUAUUUAAAAAGAGAGAGCUACGGCCAAGUGGUGACACCCUCACAGCCAACCUUUACCUGUGACUAGGUAGUUCAUGAUGAGACGGUUCAUAUCUGCUCGUUGAACAUGAAAAAGAUACAACAACUGAGGAAGAAUUAUAUGCCCACUGUAAUCAUUUCAGAAAAUAAACACAACAAUGUAGUAAGAA